rnacentral:tRNA from 1 species
CCGCGCACGAGCACCACGUCGUACCGGGACUCCUCGUCCCGGCGGGCCAGCACGUCCGCGGCGCGGGAGGGGUUCAUGCCCCCCUGCCCGGCC